UGCGUAGGUGGUUAGGUAAGACCUGUGGGAAAGACCUGGGCUUAACCCAGGAAGGUCGCAGGUGACUGCCUGGCUAGAGGGCGGGAGAGGAGCGCGGAAUUCCCGGUGUAGCGGUGAAAUGCGUAGAGAUCGGGAGGAAGGCCGGUGGCGAAGGCGGCGCUCUGGAACGUUCCUGACACUGAGGCACGAAAGCGUGGGGAGCAAACAGGAUUAGAUACCCUGGUAGUCCACGCCCUAAACGAUGGGUACUAAGUGUCGGCGGGUUACCGCCGGUGCCGCACCUAACGGAGUAAGUACCCCGCCUGGGGGAGUACGGCCGCAAGGUUGAAA
rnacentral:rRNA from 1 species